rnacentral:rRNA from 1 species
GAUGAACGCUGGCGGCGUGCCUAAUACAUGCAAGUCGAGCGAACAGACGAGGAGCUUGCUCCUCUGACGUUAGCGGCGGACGGGUGAGUAACACGUGGAUAACCUACCUAUAAGACUGGGAUAAUUUCGGGAAACCGGAGCUAAUACCGGAUAAUAUAUUGAACCGCAUGGUUCAAUAGUGAAAGACGGUUUUGCUGUCACUUAUAGAUGGAUCCGCGCCGCAUUAGCUAGUUGGUAAGGUAACGGCUUACCAAGGCAACGAUGCGUAGCCGACCUGAGAGGGUGAUCGACCACACUGGAACUGAGACACGGUCCAGACUCCUACGGGAGGCAGCAGUAGGGAAUCUUCCGCAAUGGGCGAAAGCCUGACGGAGCAACGCCGCGUGAGUGAUGAAGGUCUUCGGAUCGUAAAACUCUGUUAUUAGGGAAGAACAAAUGUGUAAGUAACUAUGCACGUCUUGACGGUACCUAAUCAGAAAGCCACGGCUAACUACGUG